GAGAGAGAGAGAGGAAAAUGAGAGCGAGUGGGUGUAUUGGCUGUGAAAGAGAGAGGGGAGAGUGUGUUGGUGUUUUAUUAUGUUGUAACAAUUGCAAUAAAACCCUCCCUUUUCUCUAAUUUGCGGCAGACUUAAUCUUGCUGUCGGGUCCAUUGUGUACCAGUACAGGUUGGGGUGUCACCGGUAACAUGAUUGCGCAGAGGCCAACCCGAGCGCUACUGUUCGGGUUUUGCCAAAGUGGACCGGUACACACCAGGGCUGUCACCGGUAACACGAUCAUUUUUCUCCAACCCGAGAGCAACUUCCUCUCGGGCAGCACUGUUGUACUAGUACAACAUCGAUGUUGUACCGGUACACUUUGCCCAGACUGCAGUUUUUGCAUCUUUUCGACUUCUCUUCGCGUCGAGCAAUGCUAAAACCUUUCUAACCCUUUUGGAAUUCAUUCUUAACCCUUCCAACAUUGUUGGAAUGCUAAGUAAAACUUGUCCAACUAUUUCUUUCGCACACUUUAGCCAAUUUGGCCAAAGUUCGAGUUUCUUUACUGAGUUUCGGUACGUUACAAUACGUCAAAUUAUUCAGAUGUGUAAGUUGAUAGAAGAUGCAUGUAUAUAUGGUCAUAUAUAUAUAUAUGGUCAUGUAUAUAUGAUCAAAAGCUUACAAAAUUGACAAUUUUUAACGGCCGGUAUGGAAUAUUUUCUAGUUUAAUGGUGCAAAAGAAUCCGAAUAGGUUGAAUUUUUGACAGAAAAUUCUAUUCACUACCUAGAUAAAGAUCAAGAACUCCGAUCUUAAAUUGAAGGAUCCGAUCAUCCAUUUUUAAGACAUUGUUCUAUUUUGACCGUUCAUUUUAUGCCUGCUUGAUGGACUUUAUUAUGAUUUUGAAAAAUUACGAAAUUUAUUUUCUAGAAGUUUCAAAUACUCUAGAUCAUAUUUAACGAAGUGGAUCGUCGAUCGGAAGCUCCAUCAUCGAAAACAACUUAUGUGUACGAAGGGCCCAAUACUUAUAAUAGUAUAGUAGCCCUACUCUCUCUCUCUCUCUCUCUAUAUAUAUAUAUAUAUAUGAAAAUAGUCAAUGAAUUGUAUGGACUUUUUGGGUUCCAUAAGACGUGAAAAUCGAGAAGGCCCUGGUCAACAUAAAUUCUCCAAAGAUAAUUUAGGAUUGUCAUAUCUUGAGCCCUGCAAGUUGGACUUGCUCGAGCACAUACAAUAGAUAUCCACCGAAUGGGCAAGACUUUUCCUUACCUACAUGAAGUGGAAAUAUAAAGCAACUUGCACAACACAUACAUGAUAUGAGUAUAUAAAAUAUCAAAGUAUUUAGCUACUAAAUUAAAACCAUUACAAUUUAUGUAAUAUACGGCAUCCUGGAGUUGCGAUGUCAAUUUUGAUCUAUUGGAUCAAAGUGUAGAUUGAGCUAGUUGGACAUCAUCCCCGAGUGACUUUGGACGCGUGAGAAUGAAUUCCGAUGAUAAAUAAGUGUUUCGGCGCAAAUUGGGCGCGAAACGAAAUGUAAAUAAAAUUUUCGGAAUUCUGACGCUAACUUUGAUUAAAAGAAUUAAAGCGAGGCUCGGAGAUAAUUUAUGGAGUACCCAAGUUAGUCUGGAAUGACUCGUGCCGAAAUCGGAGCGAAAACAGAAGAACUGGAAUUUUCUGUAAAGAACGGGACUGAGAAAUUAGCAGAAAAUGCACAGUGUCAGAAAAUUAUGAAAAUUGGCGGAGAUGUCAGGAACAUUGGUAUGAGGCCAAAUUUCAAGUUUCACAUUAUUCUGACACCUGUAGAGAGAGAAAUAGCAUCCGAAAGUUAUCUGAUGAAGAUUACAGUUCGGGACAGUUCGCAGUGACCAAACGGGGUCGAAACUGAAAUGUUAAAAUUUCAGUGGACUUGUUAAGUAAAAACGAACAUGUCUGUCAAAUUUGAGCUCAAUCGAACUUUCGGAAGGGCUUACGAAAGGUAUUUAAUCCGCGCGGCUAAACGGAUAAGUCGAGGGGCAUUAUGGUAAUUAACCUAUGCCUUAGUGGAUUUCCACUAAACCUGCCAGGCAGCCCCCCUCCAUCCUUAUCCCCUCUCCUUGCUGCCAUACGUAGAGAGAGAGAAGGAGAAAAGAAGAGAAAAGAAAAGAAGAGAAAGGAGAAGAAAAGAGAAGAAGAAGAAGAAAUAGAAGAAGAAGAAAAGAGGUAGGUUUUACCUCUCUCCCUCUCAUCCCUCUCUCUCUGUAGUAACAGCAGCAGCAGCAGCCCUUGCUGCUGCUGCGAGCAGGAACAGCAGCAGCAAGCUGCUGCUGAAGCAGCAGCAGUAGCAUCAGCAGCUGCUGCUGGAGCAGCGAGCAGCAGCAGCUGCUGGAUCAGCAGCAGCAGCUGCUGGAUCAGCAGCAGCAGCAGCAAGCUGCUGCAGCAGCAGCUGCUCAGCCAGCUGCUGAGCAGCAGCAGCAGCAGCAGCUGCAGCAGCCAUCAGCAGCAGCAGCAGCACAGCAGCAGCAGCCUCAGCAGCAGCUACCAGCAGCAGCUGCAGCUUAGCAGCAGCAGCAGCAUGCGCAGCAACAGCAGGAAAGAAAAGAAAGAAAAGAAAGAAAGAAAGGAAGAAAAGAAAGAAAGGAAGAAAAGAAAAGAAAGAAAAGAAGAAAAGAAAGAAAGGAAGAAAAGAAAGAAAGCCAGAGAGAAAAGAAAGAAUUAAGAAAGAGAGAGAUCGAAAAUAAGUUAGGAUUUCGAUAAAAACGGGGUUUUUAUAGAAAUUGACCCCGGCAAUGCACUUUUGCAAAGUAAGAGUCCUAAUGCGAAAUUGACCGCGUGUAAACCAAAUUGAGGGUAAAAGAAACGCGUUGGCGAAGUCGGUUCGGCAAUCCGACGAACCUACGCAAAGAUAUCGCCAAAAGAAGUUUUUCGGCUAUAGUUGCCGUUUUAUAUAGCAUUGAAAUGCUAAUUUGUAAAAUAUGAGUAUUGACUCUAGUUUAACCUUUUCUAAUCCUUUAUAAGUAAAAAGUAAACAUGCCCAAGAGUCUAAAUUGACUUUUCGACAGGUCGACGACGCGCUAAUUACGGUAGCGGCCGUUCUAGUCCUAUUUGCACGGAGUCGCGAGAGAUAGUCGUCGACGCUUUCUGAAACGUGGAUUCUAGUUGAUUGACACCACUACAGGUGGGUGGUGCUAUCCGAAGUCAUCGAAUCCCUCUUUAUGUCUAUGCUAUUCUAUUGAGCAUAUCUAUUUAUGUGAAUUGUAUCAUAUUCAUGCAUUAUAGGGAAAAGUGUUAUUGUGCAAUUGAAUUUAUGUUAAUGUAAAGAACAUGUGGGCCAUAGAAUAUGAACAUAGAACCCUAUAAAUGUGUGAAUUGUACUGUGGACUAUGAUAAUAGUAAAUUCGGUGACAUUCUAACUAGAGAUUUAGUUAGCAUCAAAAAAAUGGAAUUGUGAAACUAGCAUAAAGAACUAGUCAGAGUUACUUGUGGCAUUGUCAGUUGUUGUGAAUCCUCUGAAGGAGGAUCAGAUCUUACUCACAUAGUCUGUUUCUUAGCUUGGUGGUGGUCGCUCCCCCCAGGCAGUGAGCUCCGGAGUAGUCACUUGUUGGGCUAACGUACUUGCCCCAGGACUAACGUACUUGUCCGACAGACGGUCCCAUCGGGAGGCAGCUUAGGGCCCGUGAGGGAUUUCGUUGGUGAGUUAUUGUUAACCAAAGGGUUAACCACUGAAUUGGGUAAAUUUAUGGGCUAACGUACUUGCCCCAGGACUAACGUACUUGUCCAGCUGUUAACCAGAGGGUUAACCAAAAGAUUGGGUAAAGUUAAUGAAAAGCAUGCAUGCAUAUUUACAGUUUUCAUAUCUGUUACUUCUUUCAGCUUUGUACAGGCAUUGUAGUAGUUACAUGUUAUAGUUGGUUACUAUCUGCUUACUUUUCUUGCCUACAUAUGCCUGAGUAGACCUAGUGGGUGAGUCGGCGAGGUCGGCAGCCGAACCCACUGGGAACUUUCUUGUAGUUCUCACACCACUAACCAUACAGGUUCCAGUGCGAGUUUUGAGGCCGAGGAUCGUGGCAAGGGCCCUGCAGCUUAGCUAGCUGACACCAGAGUUUAGCAAUUACCAUUUUGAGUUCAUGUAUCAUCCAUUUUGAUGUACAGAGACAUGUAAAUGAAUGUAUAAAAAGCAUGUAUAUAACUAAAUGUUUCAGUUACAAGUUCAGUUGUGUAAAAUUUUAAAUUACAGUGAAUUUCAUUGUACAGUUAGUUUACUAUCACUUGUGUUUGUUGCUUGCCUUCGUGCAAGCCAUGUAUAUUGAAAUGUGAUCCUGGGAAUUAUUUAUUUCUUUAUACAUGUACUCGUUGUUGUUGAGCCUUGGGCGAACAGAGGAGGUGCUGUUCGUUCGGCGUCUGUGCGCGGGCCCGGAUCGACCAAAUUGGCGAUAACGGGACGUGACAGAUAAAGUGGUAUCAGAGCAAGUGAUAAGUAAAGGUCUAGGAUGACCUAGGGGACUCAGGAUUGGAAACCUAGGAACCAGGAACGUGAGUGGCGUGAAUUUAAUGAUAGCGAAAGCUAAAUAAAUUGGGUUAGUUGUUAGUAAGUCUCUAAUGCUAAUUAGGGGCUGAUCCAAGUGUUAUUUAUAUGCAACUAAAAAGAGUUAUGUUGAAUGGCCACAACAUAAAGCUAAGGGUUGAGUAUAAAUGCACUUGAAUUGCUUUCGCCUGAUUGGUUUUGUUCCAAUAAUGUGAAUGGUUCAUUUCAGGAGAAUGCCGCGACGUGCGACGAGAUCCACUCCGGCAUCACCUUCCAGGGUGCCAGAGCAGAUUGGAUCCAGCGAGGUUCAGGAGUUGCGUGCUCAGGUGAGCGCGCUGGUUGGAGCUAUACAGAGACAGGAGGAAAAUAUGAAAAAGCUACAGGAUUUGGUGUCGCAACAGGCGACGACAGCAGCUUCUGGGAGUCAGGAUGUACCUAUCCCGGAUCCGCCAGUCGUAGUGCCCCCUCCUCCAGUUGUUAUUCCUCCUGUGGUCUCUGGGCCUUUUAGUUCUGAUUCGGCCGCGACAAAGGCCGAGCACGAGCGAUCCUUAUCAGUACUGACGGCGUUCAUGCGGUUUAAUCCGCCGAUGUUUGACGGGAAAGAAGCCGAUCCUUGGGUACUGGAGACGUGGUUCACAUCGAUGGAAGCCUUGUUUGAGGAUAUAUAUACCCUGGAAAAGGAUAAGGUUCAUUUAGCAGCGCACUGUUUUGAGAAGGAUGCCCAGAUCUGGUGGCAAAAGGCCAAGAAAAGCCGAGUUCUAAACACUUCAUCGAUUACCUGAGAGGAGUUUAGAGAGAUCAUAUUCAUGGAGUACUUCCCAGAUAGCGAUAGAAGAAAGAUGAAAGAAGACUUUCGAAAGUUAAGACAGGGAAACCGUUCGGUACGGGAAUACGAACGGGAAUUCACUCAUUUGGUGAACUGUGUACCAGGCAUGGUUCAUACUGAUAGAGAUCGAGCAGAUUACUUCGAGCGGGGGUUACGGCCUGAAAUAUUUAAGAUAAUUAGUGCUCUAAAGUUAAAGUCAUUUGAGGAAGUCUUGGAUCGAGCUCUUUGGGUGGAGCGCAGCAAUGCGAUUGCGCGUGAGGAACGCGAGUCCUUUGAUAGAGAACGAGAAAGAGAAAAGGAAAAGAAGCGAACCACUGGUGGCGCCGGGGGACAGUCGAGCUCUAAACGACCCCCUCGGUAUCCACGGCCACAGCAGAGGUAUCAGGGACCCCCGGGAUGCGUGAUUUGCGGCGGGAAUCAUCAAGCGGUAGCUUGUUCACAAAAGGACGGUAAAUGUUUUAAGUGUGGACAGCCGGGACACAUUAGUCGUGAUUGCCCGAGAGGAGCAUCAUCUGCUCAGCCUACAGCUUCAGUUCAGUCGCCUGCGAGGCAGCGUGCGGGUCCCCCACCUGCUAUGUCAGCUGGACAUACUUUUGUGCCGCGUCAGUACGAGCCACCCCGACCUGCACCGAGUGGUCGUGUCUUUGCAGCUCAGGUUGAGGAUCCUACCGUGGUCGACGAUGUCGUGGCAGGUAUUGUUUUACUUUAUAGUACUAGAUCGCGUAUAUUAUUGACACUGGUGCAUUGCAUUCAUUCAUUAGUAGCUCAUUUGCUAGAACGCAUGACAUUGAGAAGUCGGAUGAUAUUCCGAGGGGUUGCGUAACAGUAAUGGCGUCACUGUUGGGAGGUCGUUAGAUUAUCGCCUGGUUUUGGCGAGUUAAUUGAGUUGUACCUCAAAUCAAUUGAGGAAAUUUGUAUUUAUGUAUUAUAGUCAUAGGCUAAGUUGCCUAACGAGCACUUGAGGAGUGCUAUCUAGCGAGAGACGCGAUCGUGUUGGACACUUGAGUUAGUUGUCCGUAGAUUGUGGAUUGUGGAUCAGCCUGAAGAGUGAAUUGGCAGUAGCACUUUAGCAGGGCUAAGUGUGAAGCGGACCAUGGAUCACUCUUAGGGCUGUUGGCUCGCACUAGGUGCUUAAGAGCCGUUAGAGUGGGUAGCUCUGUAGAGCAUGUCGUGCAGGACGACGUUGGCGGGUAGUGCUUGGGGACGAUCCGUGCCUGAACCCUUUUUGGACUGUGGAGCCUGGGCCCAUUGGGCAGGCGCAAUCAGCUGCGAGAGGCAACGUCCCGGUACCUACGGGUAGGGCAGAGAGUUUUGGUCAGGACGGUAGUCCGAGCUUGAACCCGAGUACGUGGAAUGCCACGUGUUAAAUCGUGAGAUCGAGAACACACAGGGUGUGUAGCGACCCAACCCGAGGACUUGGCAUGGUUUGGGGUCUUGGUUUCUCCUAGUUGGAGUGUGUGCGAAUUCUCCAGUGAGAAUAUCGCCCGAUGACGAUUGGGUUUGCGCUUGCGAGCGAGAGACGCUAGGCGUCGUUGAGAUCGGUUUAAGCUAUAGGCCUACGUAGGAUUGGUGGCCCUUGGUCCACCUGUGGAAACCGAUGGUCGGUGCGGCUGACAACUCUGUUGGUGAAUUUUGGCUUGAACCACGAAUGGUGGGUUCAUAUAAAUUCGUCGCAAGAGCGAAUGGACAUUGGUCGUGGCUUGUAGUAUCCAAGAAUAAAGAGAGAGUAAAGUGGUCUCUAGGAGACACUUGAGUAAUGAUUAGCCACAUGAAACAUGAGAAAAUUAUGCCUUCAAGUCAUUGGAAUUGUGGAGAUGUUAGAAUUAAUCCCUUCAUUCAGAAGUGGAAAAUUGUGUGUGAUUAAACACUCAUAAUUGAGUGGUGUAUUGUGAUAUCGCCGAUAGCGAUGCCAGUUGAGAAAUCAAAGCAGACUCCACUAGAGAGUAAUGAAUAUAGUAGAGGUUAUGGAAUCACUAAAUGAAGUGAAUUGGAAAUAAUAUCAGUUGUACAUUCUGACAUGCGAAGAGUACCAAGUAUGCAUUUUGGAUCGAGAAGUAAAGGAAUUGCGAAAUCGCGCUAUUCCCUACGUGAAAGUCCAAUGGAGUAAUCACACAGGACGUGAGGCUACUUGGAAAUUGGAGGAAGUUGUGUGUGAAACCUCUCCCCAUCUGUUUGAUCAAGAGUUUUGAGGUAUGAAAUCGAGUUUCGAGGACGAAACUAUUUUAAGGAGGGGAGAUUGUAAUAGGCUGAAACUUGAUUAGAAGCUAAUUGUGAUCAAAGUGGGCACAAUAAUGUUAAAAUGGAAAUUAAAGACAUCUAAACUGAAUUAGAAGCUUGAGAUCAGUCAUUGGCACACUCUGGAAGUGUGGGAAUAGAUACAAGUGGAAAAGAAGUGACAAAAGAACUCCAAUUGCCAUGGUAACUCGAAUGCUGAAUUUUGUAGUCGAUUUGGUCGAAAUGAACCAUAUGAUGUCAAAAUGAAAAGGAAUUGCUUCCAAAUUAAACUGGUAGCUUGUGAAAGUCCCUUGGCAUGUUUUGGAAGUGUUCGUGUUGAAAUCGGAGCAAAAACAGAAGAUUUGAAAUUUUCUGUAAAGAACGGGACUGAGAAAUUAGCAGAAAAUGCACGGUGUCAGAAAAUUAUGAAAAUUGGCAGAGAUGUCAGGAACAUUUUUAUGAGGCUAGAUUUGAAGUUUCAGAUUUUUCUGACACCUGUAGAGAGAGAAAUAGCAUUUGGAAGUUAUCGGAUAAAGAUUGCAGUUCGGUACAGUUCGCAGUGACCAAACGGGGUCGAAACUGAAAUGUUAAAAUUUUUUUGGACUUGUUAAGUAAAACCGAACAUGCCUGUCAAAUUUGAGCUCAAAUGGACUUUUAGAAGAGCCUACAAAAGGUAUCUAAUCCGUGCGACUAAACGGAUUAGUCGAGGGGCAUUAUGGUAAUUAUCACCAAGUUAGAUGGAAUUGCACUAAGUUCCCUGCCAGGGAGCUCCAUCCUUAUCUCCUCCAUCUUCAGCAUCCAUACGUAGAGAGAGAGAAGAAGAGAAAAGAGAAGAAGAGAAAAGAGAAGAAGAAGAAGAAGAAGAAAAAGAAAGGUGAGAAAUUUUAUUCCUCUCUCUCUCUGCUGGCUAUGUCCCUCCCCCUUGCUCUUUUUCCCUGCUGCUGGAAACAGCAGCAGCAGCACCAAUUUUUCCUGCUGCUGCAGGCAAGAGCAGGAGCAACAGCAGCUCUUUCUGCUGCUGCAAACAGGAGCAGCAGCAGCAGCAGUAAGAACAGCAGCAGCUUGUGCAGCAGCAGUAACAGCAGCUGCUGGAGCAGCAGCAGCCAGCAGCAGCAGUAGCACUAACAGCAGCAGCAGCUAAAGCAGCAGCUGCAGCAGUCAACAGCAGCAGUGGCAGCAGCUUCAGCAGGAGUAGUAGCAGCAGCAGCAGCUGCCCUGCAAGAAAAGAAAGAAAAGAAAGCAAGAAAGAAAGGAAGAAAAGAAAGCAAGAAAGAAAGAAAAGAAAGAAAGAAGGAAAGGAAAAGAAGUGAAAGAGAGAUGCAAAAUAAGUUAGGAUUUCUAUAAAAACGGGGUUUAAAUGAAAACUGACCCCGGCAAUGCACUUUUGCAAAAUAAGAGUCCUGAUGCGAAAUUGACCUCGUGUAAACCAAAUUGAGGGUAAAAGAAACGCGUUGGCGAAGUCGAUUCGGCAAUCCGACGAACCUACGCAAAGAUACCGCCAAAAGAAGGUUUUCGGCUAUAGUUGCCGCUUUAUAUAGCAUUGAAAUGCUAACUUGUCAAUUAUGAGUAAUGACUCUAAUUUAAUCUUUUCUAAUCCUUUAUAAGUGAAAAGUAAACAUGCCCAAGAGUCUAAAUUGACCUUUCGCGAACAGGUCGACCGACACGCUAAUUAGGUAGACGACCUGCUCUAGUCUCUAUUUGCACGUAAAGCUGGUCUGCAUAGAGAGAUAGUCGAACGACCGUUUGCAGACCGUGGAAUUCUAGAGUUGAUUUGACCCGACUACAGUGGUGUGCUAUUCCGAAGUCUUUGAAUCACCUUCUUUAUUCUAUAAUUUCUUCGUUGAGCAUAUUAUAUUUGUAGUCUGCAUUAUAGGGUUUGUGCGCAUUGAGCAGUGAAAUGUGAAUUCCUAUCAACAAUAAGAAUUUGUGGACUUACUGGAUGUGGACAAAUAGAACCGCUAUGAAUGCAUGGACUUGUACAAUAGUGAACUUGUGACAUUCUACUAAGAGAAUGAGUAGCAUUGUAGAAUAAACAGUGAAAUUGUGAACUAGCAAUAAAAGAUGUCUAUGUCUAGAAGUUAAAUUUAGUAUUUCAGUAUGUGAAUCCUCUAAAAACGAGGACCAGAUUCUUACAUAUGAACAUUAGAAUGUGACAUAGAACCCUAUGAAUGUAUUGAAACUGUAAAGGACGCAAGACCAAUAGUAAGACUUUGGUGGACCAUCCAUGAUAGAGAUUUGGUUAGCGGCAUCGGAGAUGUAGUUAUAAACUAGUAUAAAGAGACUAGUGAAGAGUUAAAUGUGACUGUGUCAGUUGAAAUCCCUCUAAUCGAGGAUCAGAUCUUACUCCAAGAGUCUGUUUUCUCUAGCUUGGCGUGGUCGCUCCCCAGGCAGUGAGGCUGCGAGUAGUCACUUGUUGGGCGCUAACGUACUUGCCCGCAGGAUAACGUACUUGUCCGAGCAGGACCGGUCGCCAUCGGGGAUGGGCAGCUUAGGCCCGUGAGACGUGAUUUAAAGUUAGGUGAGUUAUAUUGUUUAAACGAAGGUUAACCCAUGAAUUGGGUAAAUAUUAGGCUAACGUACUUCGCCAAGGACUACAGUGACUUGUCGACAGGAAUCCGUCCAUCGGAGGGCUGCGAGGGCAGCGGAGAGUAAGGGCUCGUGAGGCGAUUUCGUAUUGGUGAGUAUAUUGCGUUAACCAAAGGUAUAACACUACUAGAAUUGAGCGAGAUAAAAUUUGAAUCGCCAUAAACGUACUUGCCCAAGCCAGGACUAGCAUGUGACUUGUCACUGUUAACACGCAGAAAGGGUAUAACGAAAAAGGAUUGGGUAAAUUUAUGAAAAGCCAAUGCAUGUCAUUUUUACCAGAUUUUCAUUAUCUGUUACUGUCUUCAGCUUGCUACAGGCAGUUGUACGUAUACAUGUUAUAGUUGGUUUACUAAUCUGCUUACUUUUCUGCUACAUAUGCUGAGUAGACCUAAGUGGUGAGUCGGCGCAAGUCGGCAGCCGAACCCACUGGAACUUCUUGUAGUUCUCAACACCAGCAUAACGCAUACAGGAUUCGCAGUGCGAGUUUUCCGAGCACGAGGAUAGUGCAGAGCGGCCUGCACUUAGCUAGCUAGACCCACGAGUUUAUGCAAUGUACCAUUUUGAGUUCAUGUAUCAUACCAUUUUGAUGUACAAGGACAGUAAAUGAAUGUAUAAAAAGCAUGUAUAUACUAAAUGUUUUAGUUAUGCUAAAGUUUAAAUUACAAGUGAAUUUCAUUGUACAGUUAGUUUACUAUCACUUGUGUUUGUUGCUUGCCUUCGUGGCAAGCCAUGUAUAUUGAAAUGUGAUCCUGAGAAAUUAUUUAUUUCUUUAUACAUGUACUCCGUGUUGUUGAUUGGCCUUGGCGCGAACAGAGAGAGUGUGUUCGUUCGUCGAGCGUCUGUGCGCGGGCCCGGAUCGACCAACAGUUUGGGCAGAUGAACGGAGACGUCGACACGUCGCACCAUCCAAGAUAUAACGAAUGUUUCCACUAGGAUCGGAUAUGCACCCAGAUUGCAUAGGAAAGUAUAAAAUACAUAAAUACUUGCUAUUACAGGCCAUCAUUUCACUUAGUACAAUCUCAUUUCAGUUACAUUUACUAGUCCAAAUUACAAUCACAUUAUUAACAACAUUUAAGUUUACAAAGUUGAUACAUUUUGAUCUCCUUGGUUUCUAGUCCCCUAGAGUAGACUGGGCUCAGGUAGCUGCUACCUAGUAUCUACUGGUAGGAUGGCGCUAUCGUACUGAGCUACGCCUCCGCCAACCCAUACCGGCGCGCUGCCACGUACAACUGAAACAUGUGCCCAAAAACCACGUGAGGUGAGAACCACUCCCAUGGUUCCCAGUUGGCACAGUCCUACGGCCAAGAGAGCGUGCGAGAGCGCGAUAGUCCGAGGAGGCCUGCACAGAAUGCAGUUCAACAAUAUACAACAUGAUAUAUAUUAUUCAAAUUGAAACUACAUCGCCGAUGCCUCACGAUAUUCGAUAUGAAAAUCAUGGCAACUCUAUGCGUAAUAGUAGAUCAAGUCGAUCCUACACUUUAGCCUGGUCUACUCUAGGCCCAUAUCUUUACUCUAAAGUGUUUUCUAUUAUCUUAGGAUCUCAACUCAGGCCACUGGCUUCUAAGGUCUCUAUUACCUUAGCUCAAGCCUCUAUCUCUAGCUCAUAAGGGUUCCCCUACCCUAUCGAAGCUAACCACCCGACUCGGCAUCGAGUCAAUCAUCUGCGGAUAGUCCGCGCACUGGCUGCUCAUCAGCCUACCGCCCUCUCUGUCUCAGCCCCCUAGCGGCAAAGUCGUCGCACACGCUAAGCCCAGCUCAAGUAGCAUGGCUUAACCAUCUGGCGGCGAACACGUUGCUCUUACCCAGCGUGAGCUCGAGUCAUGACACACCGUCAGGCGGCGAACGGAUAGCACCACACCCAACAACGGUACAUGUCAGACUCAGCGACCUGGAGGCACCCGCAUCGUACUUACCUAGCAUGGAUUCAGUCUUCUCUGGCGGUCUGAUCAUCAAAUAGCUUAACCAUCCGGCGGCGAAAUCGUCGCACAAACACCAUGACAAUGGUUCAAGCCCCGGGCGGUGAUCUCCAUGUGAUCGCCCCCAAUCCUCCCUCGGUGCCAAGCUCAGCGGCGAAGUCGUCGCACACGCCCUAGCUUGCUACCAGGGUCAUCACAAAUCCUGGGAUUCCGGAAUCCACUUUCCACAGGUCGAGGGUCCAUAGCCCACCCUAUACUGUCGACCUAGCUCUUCCUAGUGGCUAUACCACUAUACUCAUCAACCUAGGUUUCAACACUCUAGGUUCUAACCAUGUCGCUUAACCUAGUUGCAAUUGCUAGGUCCUUGUCCUCUUUGCCUAGAUGUCCAUUUCUAGGUUUACUAGUUCGACCUAGGUUUACUAACACUAGGUUCGAUGCCACACACCUAGAUUGUUCAACUCUAGGUUCACUUAUUUAACCUAUGUUCCUUAACACUAGGUUAGAUGCCACUCGAUCUACUUGACAACCUAGUUGUCCAAUCAACUCUCAUUACCCAUCAACUCUACAUUUCUAGAGUUAUCAUCUAGUUUACAUGCAUAUAUAUAUAUAUAGCAUUCUUUUUACAUUAUUUACAUGUCAUGUUCAUCAUGCUUGCUACUUAGCAUUUACAUGUCAUGUUCAUCAUGAUCGCUUCGGUAAGCACAACCCACCUUAGUUAGCUUUUCCGAUUGCUUGUCGACGCUUGCAAUCGGCCUCCCGCGGCACUCAGCACCCGCUUGGGCCCGAUCUCACAGUUGCUCCCCAAGAGCGCGUCGCUUCGCCGUUCCAAGUGCUAAUGGUCUUCGCCUCGCCGUAACGGUGCUCGCGACCAGAUUUUACAAUUUAUGGACGUCUCCUCGGCCUCCCAGGCGAAAACGAAGCUCCGAGUGCCCGUUUCUUCAAUAUCUUCGCAAUGGCUUGUCGAAUUGUUGAACCAACUUUGCCAACGUGUUUCGUUACCUAUCAAUUAGGUUUACGAAGGGUCAAAUGAAAUCAAACUCAUCUAUUUACAAAAACCCCACUUGGAUGCCCUAGAAUGCCAUCACUACCAAAUCCACCAAAUCGAUCUAUGAUUUGGGUAUAAUCUAUCUAGAUAGCAUGCUAGGGUACUAAAAAUACUAUUUCUAGGGUUAAAACCCCCAUUCACAAGAGAUCUACCAUGAGAGGGCACCAAGCUUACCUCUCAAAGAGCUCCAUGGGGAAGAAGAAGAUGAAGAGGAUGAUGACAGUGAUGAUUCUCUUCUUCUCCUCCAUCUUCUCUUUCUUUUCCUCUUCUCUUUUCCUUUCUUCCUCCCUUCUCUUCUUUUCCUUUUCCUCCUCACGAUCGGAACGAGAGAAAGAGAGACAGUGAGGGAGAGUGUGAGGGAGUGAGAGAGAAAGAGAGAGAGAUGCCUCUCUCUAAUACCCUCUCAUAUUGUAACAAAAUGCUGUUUAGUCCCUCAACUUUUCAUCUCUUACACAGCCCUCACUGGGCGUUCUGCGCGCGGAGGGACUGGUCUCCCCGACUAGGGACCGGUCCCCGAGAGCUCUCUCAGAUAGCACACGUUCGGGAACCGGUCUUUCCCUGAGGGACCAGUCCCCAGGAGACCGGUCUGCCCACCAAAGACCGGUCCCCGAGAGCUUGUCUCGUGGGACUUAGCCGAUUUUCGGCCAUUUCCGCUGGGAUCACCUACGGGGACCGGUCCCUCCCUGACCAGGGACCGGUCGCACCAGCGACCCCAGUCUCUGCUGAUAGGACCGGUCUGUCCAACCAGAGACCGAUCCCCGAGGGCAACUUCAGCCCAAUAAUACAAUUUGCAUGAUUUGCCCUCGCGGACUCCAUUCCAAUGCACUUCUUGGAUUUUGUGCAUCCUAAGCUUUUCCAAAGCUUAUCCAAUCGACCAUUAGUCAAUUCUGGACGAGGUGCAACUCUCGGAUUUCGAGAAUUCAUAUCGUUACAUCUAGAGAGUUUCUACUCUUGUAAGAAGCUCAAAUCCAAAGGUCUAGGGUAUAAGAUCCAAGCCCUAACCUAGAUCUUACAAGAAAACCUUACUUUUGCCCUAAGCUCUCCAAAGUCCACCUUGUAGGGGAGUCCCCAAGCCUCCAAAACCCAAGAAAUCUCCUCCAAAUCCUUCCUUUCUCCUUCCCCUUAGCUCUUGGGAGAGAUUUCUAGAGAGAGAAAGAGAGAAAUGAGAGAGGAGAGGUGUUUGGCUGUGAAAGAGAGAGGGGAGGGGUGUUUGGGGUGUUAUUAUGUUAUAACAUUUACAACAAAACCCUCCUUUUUCUCUAAUUUGCAGCAGACCUAUUCUUGCUGCCAGACCCAAUUUGUAUCGGUACAGGGCAGGUGUUACCGGUUACAGGAUCGCGCAAAGGCAAACCCAAGAGCAACUUCUCUCGGUCUGCACUAUUGUACUGGUACAGAUACAAUGUUGUACCGGUACAAAAGCUCCCGACUUCUAUUUUUGCAUCUUUUCGAUUCUAUUUCGCGCCGAUCGAUGCUGAAACCUUCCUAACCCUUUUGGAACUCAUUUUUAACCCUUCCAACAUUGUUGGAAUGUUAAUUUGAUUUUGUCCAACUUUUCUCUUGGAUGCUUUAGUCAAUUUGGCUAAAGUCCAAUAUUCUCUACCGAAUUUCGGUACGUUACACUAACGUACUUGUCCAGCAGACGGUCUCGGGUUUGCGAGCGGGAGAAUCUCCUCACCUGUGGGAUUGCACUGUGAGUCGGGGGCAAACCUUCGGGUUAGCCUAGUUGAUUGGGUGAACAUAUGAAUGACUUAUUUGUUGAGCAUAGUAGCAUGAUAGUUGACUUCAUUACUAUGUAGAUUUUCAUUCAUUUGCUAUUGAUUGAGGCAUAGUAGCAUGUUAGUAGAAUUCAUACUAUGUUAGCAGCUUAUUUCCAUAUUGUCUAUCUAUCUACUUAUGUCUGCUUAGACCUAGUGGGAAGAUCGGCGGAGUCGGCGGCCGAACCCACUGAGAACUAUUAUUAGUUCUCAUCCCACUUUGUUGCAGGACUGAGUUCGAGCGGGCCGGGCGAGGACCGUGGUAAUUAAGGGCAUAGCACCCUAGUUAGCUAGUAGCUUUCCAUUUGCAUUAGAGUACCUUUUGUACAUGAAUGAUAUAUGAUGUAUAUUGGUGAGGAUGCCUUUUGGAGGGUUGUGGAUGUACACUUAUGUUAUGAGAUGAACAUGUGAAUAAAGUGUAUCUAUUUAGAUGAUGUAAACCCAAUGUAAAUGGUUGAAUGCAGUGUGGAUGUAAUAGCUAGAACCCUCUCUUGUUUGCUUGUAUUAUUACUUGCUUGGAUCAUGUAUGUGGUUGAUAUUUUUCCUGGGCAACUAUAUGUACAUGAUCUUGUUGUUGAGCCUAGGGCGGACAGGGGAGGUGCUGUCCGUUUGGCGUCUGAUCAACGUACCCCAACCGACCAAAUUGGCGGUUGCAGGGCAUGGCAAAUGGUCCAGAAGGUCUCGAUGUGCCCAACACCGUGCUCGCUCUCUAGAGUGCAAUCGACGAUCACAGAGCCUCAAAAUAGCAAGAAAACCACUCCUUCAAAAAUGUUUCGAGAGUGGCCAAGCCCGUCGCACGCACCAGGGUUUUGCUGAUUGCAACAAAGGUGAGCACGAGACUCCACAGGGUACCAGGGGUGUCGUUUUCAUGCUUCGGAGACUCGACGAAGUUCUAGGUGGCUGAAAAUCUGAGCUCGGCCCAGGACCAAACCUUGGCAAAAAUCGAGUAUGGCUAGGGUAGGACCCAGGCGGUGGCCAGCUGCACGACGGAGCAAGCCUUGGUUAGGGGAGGCUCACUACACCCAGAAGAGGCGGUCGGCACCCCUAGCCGGCAGCGGGAAGUUGCGACAGUGCGGCGCUGCCAUGAGGCCUACGGCUAGGGCUCGUGCGCCCGACCUCUCCGGCGGCUCGGGGAGGGUAGCGACGGUGCCGAGGCUUCUCCUAGGUCUAACGGUAGUGGACGAUGGUGGCGCAGCGUGGCAGCGGCGGUCGGGUGAUGCCUUCCGGCCGCACCAAGUCUGCUGGCUUUUCCUCACCAGCAAUGGCCUUUUGGUGCACGGCAGCGCCAGGGACGGCUCUGGGAGGGUCGCCGGGCUCUUAGGUGACGGCGGCAGCGGCCCAAGUCGAUGGUGGCACCGGUACAAGGGACUUGAGUCUACCAAUACCCGAGAGAGAGAGAGGGAGAGGGGGGAGAGAAAGAGAGAAAGAAAUCAAAGGAUAGAUGAAGGAGGGCUUAGACCGACUACAACGCAGGUCGAGAAGGUCGCCGGCGAUGAUCGUGCGCGAGUAGGGUUUCUUGGGCCAGCGGUGAAAGGGUAUCAGGAGUUAGAGUUACCAUCCGUCCCUCUUCCCUGUGUGUGUGUGUGAAUAUAUAUAUAUAUAUAUAUAUAUAUAUAUAUAUAUAUAGAGAGAGAGAGAGAGAGAGAGAGAGAGAGAGUGGGCUGGUAUGCGUUAUGGAAGCACGGAGCCCUCCGUGCUUCCAAGUUGUUUUCGAUGUUUCGACUUUUGAAUCGACGAUCGCUCCGUUAGAGUUGAUCUAGAGUAUUUGAAGUACUAGAAAAUAAUUUUUUUCGAUAUCAUUUGCCUAGUGAUCGAAGGGGUUCAAAAUCAAUAAUUUUAAUGGCCGUGGUGAGCCGGUUGCAAGUUUAACGGUGUAGAAAUAUCCAAAUCACAUGAAAUUUUGAUAGAAAAUUCUUUAUACCAUAUAAAACAAGAUCAAUAACUUUGAUCUAAAAUUUUAAUGUCAUAUCAUCAUAUUUUGUAAGAUUUUUAUUUUCAGCCGUUGAUUUUGAGCCACUUCGAUCACUAGGCAAAUGAUAUCGAAAAAUCGCAAAAUUUAUUUUCUAGAUACUUCAAAUACUUCAAAUACUCUAGAUCAAGUCUAACGGAGCCGAUCGUCAAUUCAAAAGUCCGAACAUCGAAAACAAAGUGGAAGCACGGAGCCCUCUGUGCUUCCAUAAGCAUCCUAGCCACACUAUAUAUAUAUAUAUAUACCUAUAUGCAUACGUAUACAUACAAACUAAUGCAAACAUGCAAAGUAGCCCCUUGGAGUUCCCCUUCUUUAGCCUUUGAACCCUAGAAUUGAGAAAUCUACACAACGAAAUCAUCUCGCAAUCAACUUUCCAAGUUUACGUGUUAAACAUCGCAUUUUUAACUGAAAAUUCCCUCGAUCAACUAUCCUUCAUACAACUUCAUCUCCCCGCCAUUUUGCACAGAAAAUCUCAAAUUCUGUGAAAUUUGAAACAUAAGAUUACCCUCAACUCCCUAUGCCGUACUUGGGAAAGCCUGAUUACCUUACCCUAAGUGCCUACUAAAUUAAGAGAAGCUCGAUUGCCCUCGGCGCUCUGCUUGGUGUUUAUUAAGGAAAUAAAACCAAACUAAUAAGUUGGUUAGAGAUGAGCUAUUAUUUGGGAUAAUCAUCUAGGCCGUCGGUAUUAUCAUAUCAUUCUUGGAGUAUCAUUAUUUCACUAGAGACAAAUCGUUAUCAUAGUAAUAAUAGUAGUCUUUCAUUACUCACUAUUCUACUUUUGUCUCCUUUGGACUGAGGUAGUGUAGAGUGCUACUUUCUGUAGUUGCACCCACCAGAAACUUAUUUCAAUUUCUUACCCUAUUGUUGUUGUUGCUUUUUAAGAGCCAUCCUUUGCCGGUAAGGCGCAUGAUUGCAACAAGAAUGUCGCGAGUUAGAUAAACCGUGGCUAUUCGGUCUAGAGAAUACAUAUUUACUAGAUCUUGGCAAAUAGGCAAGGUUAUAAUUGGAGUGGUUGGUUAGCACAUCAGUUGACUACUAGAUCGAGUUGGAGCCAUUUUGGUGCAAAUGAAUGUAAAAAUAGACUUAAGAAGUUGAGUACUGAUAAAACUAAAGUUUCAACAACUUUUGGAUGUCUGGAAGUGGCUCAGGGCACUCAAAAAUGGCAUACAAGUGCUAAUAUUGAUUCAGGACCCUAGAAACGGACGCCCGAAUGCAUCGUAACUAGGUUUGAAAGUUGGUAGAAGUGUAUUGGACGCCCCGAGUUACUCUAACAGUACGGAAGAGCGUUAGUGACAGAUUUGGCUGUAGCAUAGACACAUGCACAGUGACUCAGCAGGAGAUUCGUUUGCAGGGUUCGGGUACCCAAAAUUCACGGACUUCUGUCCGGGCACCCGAAAGCCUAUGCAGACCCAGCUAUGAUGGGUUCGGGCAUUCCGUUGCAACUAAGGGGUGUACAGUUAUUGGAUUCGGACACCCGAAGGUUAGUUCCAGGCACCUAAAAGUUAGCUUUUUGCUACAAAUGAAUUAUUUUUGACUCUGUAGGUUUUUUUUAUAUAUUUUUCUUUGCCUAUAUAUACCUAAGGGAUUUGCGUGUUACUGUUCGGACACCCAAAUUAGUUCAUUUUUGGACAAUAGGUGGCUUAUAGUGAUGGUUAGUAUCCUUCAGGACACUUCAUGGAUUUUGAAAGUGUUUUCGAUGAGUUUUUGUGAGUUUCUGCGGGUUUUGAGAAUCAGUCAAAGAACUAAUUACUCAAUUGUGUCGGGUUGUAAGUUAAGUGAACUGUAGGUCACUUUAGGGUUAGUCUUGAGUUUUGGAGUGGUUUGUAACUCCGUAGGAUCUUUCGCAGGUCUGGGGGAUGUUUAGGAGCAUCAUCAAAGUCACGGGUCUAUAGUCGAUUGUUGAGGUGGGCGCUUCAAUCUAAAGUUGGUAAAGUGGUGCCUACUCGGCUAUCUCUUUCCUUUUGAUCUCCUCUUUGAUUGCAUGAUAUUGAUUGAGCACCUCAUUACAUCACUUGACUUUUUAGAUAUUUGCUCUGGUUGUCGAUUUACCUAUUGUUCAUCAUGAUUGAGUUGUAACCAAUAUUCAUUAUGAUUGGACUAUAUUGUACAAGUAUAUGAUGUUAGUUGAUCUUGUGGCCGGUGACACAGUAUUAUGUAUUGCAUGAUUAUAACAGAUGACCAUGUUAUUUGGUUGACUUCAUUGGUCGGUGGCAUGGUGCUAUCUUUGAGAUAUAAGAUGACCUGAUUGGUUGGUGACUUCUUAAUUGAUCUUUCUCGGCUAUUUGCCGACAGUUGGCUAUUGAGCAUAUAGCAUCGAUCGCUAUAGCUCAUAGAGCAUUUCACAUAUACCAGCAGUUUGGCCACCACAACUGUGUUCUUUUUUGAAAAAAUAGUUGUAUUUCAAACCCGUGCGCCCUAUGCGAUAUAUGUUAUAUGCCGGUGGGAAAAUAGGUUGUGACAUUAUUUGAGAUCAUUAAACCAACAUGGUGAUAUGAUUUGGUUUAUUUGGACUGUUUGUCCGAUUGAUGCAUGCUUGUCUAUUCGUUUAUCUUACAGUACUUGUUUAUAUUUGUAUCAUUAAUAGUCAUUUAUCUCAUUUUCAGUAUUAUUAUUGCUACUGUACUUGCUCACUACUUUAUACCUGUCGACUAUUAUCUCUUUUGUUUGCUAGUGAGUAUACCUUGCCUUCGUCGGUUUGCGAUACCCACUGGAAAACAUGUUUAUAUGUUUCUCACCUCUUAUUUUUACAUGUGACAUGAGAGCUGAGGAUUGGAACAGUGCGUGAGGAUGCUACUAGAUAGAUGUAUUGUCACGCCCCGGGACCGGCGGAGGCCCUCCCGGUAGCGCGCCCAGACCCGCCAUAUGCCUACACAUAUAAAGCGUCUACAACAAAACGGAAGAAUAAGAUAAGAGAUGAACUACAUCUAGAGAUAUCAGAACAAGUAUACAUCUAGAAUCUAUAGUAGAUAAAACAUAACUAAACAAUAAAAGUAAAGCAUAACGUUAUACAGUAUCCAUCUCAAAAGUACAAAAAGGGGUGGUCUCUAAAAAUGGUAUAAAUCUCUCAAUCUCUCCAAAAAGAAACAAAAGAGAGGUGGACCACCUAUCCAAUAAUCCCUCGCUAGCUAGCACGAGGCGAUUCCUUUCCCGCAAUCCUGAGCCUCUCCCGGAGUAGAAGGCUCUGAAAGAAAACAUAAAACAGGAGGCGUGAGAACUAUAAUUUAUAGUUCCCAGUGGGCAAUUACUGACCUUAGCAAAACGCACCACUAGGCCCAAGUCAUGAGCAGAUAUAGGAAAUGAAAUAAUAACUGCGGAAGUAAAAGCAUAUAAUGAAAUGCUAUACUACUAUGCCACAAUUAUACAUGAUAUGAACAUGGAGUAUAUCUACUCUGUCAUGAAUCCAAUAUGCCGAUACAUAACAAGUAUGCUCUAUCAUGGCUACCAAGUAAGCUGUGAUGUAACAAGUAAUACUAUCAAGUAUACAAUAUGUNNNNNNNNNNNNNNNNNAUUUGCACCAGCCUUAACUCUCUAAUUUUAAAGAAAGCAAGUCAGUCCAAUCUGACUCGUACGCACGGUUUAAAGCUCGAGUUAGCCUGCAAGCCUUCCCGUAAGCCAUUCACAAAUCAUAAACUCGAUGUUAGAAAACACGAAUCACAAAACCAUCAGAGAUAUCCACUACAAUCGUGACAAAAAAGAGUAAACUAAACCGAAUAAACUCCGUUAACACUCUCCGAACCCAAGAUCUCGUCCAAAAAAAAGUACAACCCCAAACUAGAGUAAAGAGAGAUCAAGAGUGGGGAGUGAGGAAAAGAGAAGAUUAGAGAGGUGUUUUCUCUUAAUUAACCUCUUCUUCAACCUCAUCUUAGGAACUUUCAACCUCUCAUCGAACCUCGAGUUCGAAAGUAGAAGAAGGAGAGAUAAUCUCUUUCGAAACCUCCAUUCGAAACUAUCAUUGAUACCAUCUAACGAUUCCUUACUAAGCAUAGGAGAUCCUUACCCAAAUCUCUUGAGGGAUCUACGAUUGUUGUAUAAUUAACGUACUUAGUUCAAGGUUAAACCACUAAAGAACGUUAUCAUCGUACAAUUCCGAGUUUAAACCCAAAACGUUAUACAUCUCCAAACUAGAUUUAACUCAUACAUAUUUGGAUUAACGAUCCAAAAGACUGCGCAACCACUUCAGCCGAGCCGCUAUGCUGCUCCGAUGCGCUUCUAUAACUUCUUUUCCGGCUAAAGCCAAGUCUAAUAGCGUCGAGCGCCGCAUUCGAAGGUUUUUAGUGCUUUGGGCUUAGCAUCGUAGCACUGUAGUGGAUUUCAGAACCUCGAUUCUCUCAGCCCCCGUGCUUCCCAGCACACCUCGAGAACCACCCAAACUGGAUCGAUGUUUACUCUUUUAGAGUAAAUACACCUAAAUUCAUAGCAUUUUACUUUUUAGUGCAUAAAAGUACUUUCUACGUAAUAAACACUUAAAAUCUUACGAACUUUACGAAUACAAUAUAUGUUACGUAAAAGCCUGGAGAUACAUCAUCUCUCGAACGUACACUCUGAAUACGUACCCAAAUCGUAAGAUUAACCCUGAACUUUAGUACGAGGUAUAUCAUCUAUACUGUUUACAUUAUACGGAACCUGUAUUUAGAGUAAACCUGUAUUCUCUUAUGUAAUCCGGUAUUUCACCGAAACCUAAACUUAUUGAACACUCAAUCCCUCGAUUACAGCAUUACGCUGUAGCCCGAACUCGAUACUUACUCAGAUCGUUUCAUUACGGUAUCUCUCCGUAAUCUGAACUUACUAUACACUUAACAUACACGUACAAUUAUAAUACUCUUAAUACGAUUCAAUCAUCAACGUAACCUUUUACAUACGUACAUCGUAAUACUCUUGAUACGAUACAACUAUCAACGUAUGCCUGUGUAACUUUGGUAUAUAAUCACCUAUCUACGUACAAUUAUAAAUAUACGUAACACCUCAUGGACGAUCCAUGUAUAAUCGUUACACUCUAGUAUGAUCUCUCGUACGCAUAAUUGUAUAAUAACUAUCCCAUUCGAUUAUAGUAUUUCUCCGUAACCCGAACCUUAACCAUAUAAUUCGAUUAUAGUAUUUCGCUGUAACUCAAACCUUGUAUAUACUUGGAUCAUUUAUCACGGUAUUUCUCCGUACUUUUAACCUUAUACGAACCUAUAUCAUUACAAGAUCACAGGAUUUCUCCGUGAUCUGAAUCACUUACAACCUUGAAGUGAAACUCUGUAUCUGAUCUGGGAACCCUAAUGAUCACCGAUAAGGUACAAUCUCUGUACUACUGCUCUAGGAACUGUACUACUGAUACCAAUGAACGGUAAACACGAGUAAGCGUGUACGAACACUCCCAGCGAGGGAUGUUCGACCGUAAGGCCUCAACCGGAAAACGCUGUGUCAAGCGCGCACGACCUAACUCUGCGGACAUCCCAGCGCACCCUGUCAGAGUAAGGUCUCACCCUACUGCUCGAUGGUGCCCGUUGAUCCACCGCUCCGCGGACAUCCCAGCGCACCCUGUCAGAGUAAGGAGCUCCCCCUUACAACCUCGAUGGUAUCCGUCGAUCCGCCGUGUUCAACCUGAUGUGUACACAUCCAGGACCUACUCUAACUUACUACUUGGAAUUAGCUAAUUUACUGUUAGUGAUGAACUAUCAUAUAGCAUCAACCUAAAUCGACUGUAACCCUAAACACCAUGGGAAUCAAGGAUACUAUCAUGUAUGGUCUAUACAUAACUUAAACCCCUGUAUAACAUAUGAACUAUCAUAAUGAACAAUGUAGUGUAUAACAUAUGAACUAUCAUAAUGAACAAUGUAGUGUCGAAUGAACCAUCGGUACUAUCUCGGUCACCGAAAGCUGUACCGAACUGUAAUCUUUAUCAGAUAACUGUCGGAUUUUAUUUUUCGCCUUCCGGGUGUCAGAAUGACAUGAAACCUUAAAUCUAGCCUCAUAAAAAUAAUUCUGACACAUUCCCAGAUUUUCGAAAUUUUCUGACACUGUGCAUUUUCUGCUAAAAUAACAGUCUCGAUUCACACAGAAAAUUCAAAAUCUUCUGUUCUCGCUUCGAUUUCCGCACGAGUCGUUCCCGACUUAUAUUUUACUUCUAUAAGCCCAAUAAAUAUAGUAUCACACACUAUUUUUAUUUAUUUUUAUCCUUAUUUAAAAUUCGGUAUGCUACAUGUAUUCUGAGCUUUGAUUGUCGAUUACUUAUAUAUUCGUGCACUUGAUUCAGAUACUAUUGGUUUUAGUUUUGUUAUUCAUCAGUUCUUGAUAUAAUUGUAGUGUAUCAAAUUUUAAUACAAAAUUAAGUGUAAAUAAAAAUAGUGUGAGAUACUAUUUUUAUUGGACUUAAAGAAGUAAAAUAAAAGUCUGGAUUGACUCGUGCUGAAAUCAGAAUGAAACAGAAGAUUUAGAAUUUUCUGUGAGAAACGAGACUGAUAUUUUAGCAGAAAAUGCAUAGUGUCAGAAAAUUAUGAAAAUUCGAAAUAUGUUGGGAUUAUUUUUAUGAGGCUAAAUUUAAAGUUUCAUGUCAUUCUGACACCCGGAAAGUGAAAAAUAAAAUCCGACUGCUAUCUGCUAGAGACUUUUUGUCGGUAGAGCUUUCGAUGACCAAAAGUGGUCGGUUCAGAGUCUUCGUGCAAUCGGUUGAGCAGCGUGCUUUCGACUCGGCGUUCGCAAAUUCGGUAAGUGUUUAGGAUUCGACUAAAUCCUUUAUGCUUAGUGUUCUAGUAGUCUCUAGAGUGAUGUUAGCAUGUUUUCUCCAUUUAAUUUGGAUUAUUUGAGGCAAUUGUGGAGGCUAGGGUUCUAGAGAAGGUUUUUGUAAAUGUUGGGGUUUGAUCUAAAUUGAACCCAUGUAAACUAAAUUGCUAGGUUUUCUGAUGUGUUGGCGAAGACGGUUCAGCAAUCCGUCGAGGCUACGCGAAGAUAUUGAAGAAAUUGAUGUUUUGGCUUCGUUUCCGCCUAGAGGGCCGAGGCGGCGUCCAAAAAUAACGAAAACGGAUUCCUAGCAUCGCGGCAUCAAGUUAUAGACCUUUAAAAUUCGAGGCCACGAAAUGACGCACGGUUGGCGAGUAUUAGCAAGAUCGGGCCAAACCGGAUAUUGUGUGCCGCGCGAGGUCGAUUGCAAGUGUUGACAAGCAACCGGAGAGCGUUGCGAGGUGGGUUGUGCUCACCGAAGAUAUUAGUUCACUUCCAUAUCGAAGUGGAGCGUUGUUUAUUAUUGAUGCAUAUAAUGGUAACUAGUUGUAGAAUGAUAAAUGCAUAAGAAAUAUGCUAAGUGAAUGCAUGAAAAUGAUAUUAUAGAAAUGCAUAAAAUGUUAUAUGAAUGCAUGUUAUAGAGGUUAUAUGAAUGCAUGAAAGUGAUACUAUAGAAAUGCAUGUUGGUAUAGUUUGGAUUAUGCUAGAUGAUGUAUAUAUGUAUAUUGACAUAUCAUGAGAUGCUAGUUGGUAUAUGUGCAUGAUGACAUGUUGUGAAUUAACAUAUUGUGGAUUAUGUUAAAUGAAAAUAUAUACAUGAUGACAUAUUGCAUAUGAUAGAUGUAUUAUGCAUGUUGACAUAUAGAGGAUUAUGUUAAUUGACAUAUGCAUGUUGAACUUGGUCGAUUAGAGAAUUCGACAUUGAAAAACAAGAAUAUGAACUUAGGAUAGAUACUGAUCUCCUGAGUAGUAGCAUGUAAACCAAAGAGUGGCAUUUGGACUAGUGUAGUAGAGACAUUAUGACAUGAACUUAGGAUAGCUGAUGAUUUCCUGAGUAGUAGCAUGUGAACUAGUGCAGCAGAGGCACUAACUAUCCUCCAGUGAGGGGAUUGGAUCAUACUCACAUAGUCUGUUUAACCUUUGCGUUGUCGCUCCACCCAAGUAGUUAGCUCCGGAGUAGUAGUCGCGUUGGGGUAGACGUAGUUGUCCUGCAGACGGUCUCGGGUGGGUGUAGCACAGAGUCUCCCCACCAGCGAGAUUUGAGAUGUGAGUCGGGCUUAACCUUUUGGUUAGCCAGUGAGAUUUGGUGACAUUCUUGUGAGCUAUGGAUGAAUCCCAGCGGAGGGGAUUGGCAUCCCAAUUGGCAUCCCAAUUGAGUGGAUUUGAGGCUGAGGUGCAUGCGAGACGUCCUGCACCUCAGGCCUGGCUUUACGCGGUACUCCGCGGAGGAUUGACUCUAGACCGAGUCGAGUGGAUAGCUUGGUAAAGGUAGAUAAAACCUUAUGAGUCAAUGGUAAAGAUAGAUGAAACCUUAUGAGCAGAUUGUAAAUAACAUGAAUCUAAGAUAGAGGAAGACUUAGGCGUCAAUUGAAUGAGCUGUGGAUAGCGAAACAGAAAGUAGAGUUAGUAGAUCUACUUACCUCAUUACAUAUUGAGUUGCAUGAUUUACAUUGUUGCAUGUUGCGAGGCAUGAAUAUGGUAAAUGUUAGUUGCAUAAAAUAUUUGAUGAAAUAUAUAUAUCUGUGAAUACUUGUUGGACUAACAUGUUGCAGUUCCUCCUUCGGACCUGGUGGGUCGAACUUUUUCCUUGGGUAGCAGUACCCACUGGGAACUAUGGACAAUAGUUCUCACCCCCGUGUUGUUUUGGGGGUACAAGUUCACACAUGAGCGGCGCGGCGGCGCGAGGACAGGGCGUAGCUUCGUAGAUAGCGCCCUACCACAGAGACCAAAGAUAACAUUACCCCGAGUUGGCCUAGCUAGGGUUGUAGAGAAACAAUGUUGUAUUAAUCUUGAUUGUAUUUGGAGAAAAAGAAAACGAAAAUGUAAAAUGUAAAAAGCAUGUGAUGUGAAUGAUUGUAAUAGCUUAGUUGUUUUAUGUUUUUAAUACUUCCUUAUGCAAUCUGUGAUUGAAUACUGUUCCUAGUUGGAACCUCUUGUAUUGUAUUGAUUGCGAUGCCUAGGACGUACAGGGAAAACUCUGUCCGUUCGGCGGUCUGUCGGCGUGCCCAAAUCCGACCAAAUAGGCGGGUCUCGGGGCGUGACAAUAAUAAUGGUGGAUUUACAUUUACCUGCAUUUAGGUGAUUUAGACUUUAGAAUAAAUGUUGAUUCUAAUUAUUCAUUGAUUUCUAUCUGCUAGAUGUUUAGUCAUAUUUAUCCUUUACCUAUUUGCUAGUUGGUGUUGUUGUUAUUGUGUCCUUUGUGGUUGUAUGUGCAGUUGAUGUUGUACUCUAGGUUCUACGUCGUCCACGUAAAGGGAAGACUCUGUCCGUUUGUACAGAGGAGCCUCUGUCCAUGUGACGGGUUUGUGCAUGCUGCAUAGUGUUCUUUGGUGAUUGUUUAUUUUUAACUUGAUUGUAGCCCUAUCUGAUGUUACUGAACAUGGCAUGCACGAGAUUGUUGACAAGGGAAGACAAUGACAUUAUGCCAACUCUCAAGAGACUGAUGAUGCGGACCGUGUCGGAGAUUGGAGAAACAGGUAGCCGCAUGGGCAGGUCUAGUACAGCAAGUGGUGCAACAGUAUGUUGCAGCUAGGGCUAACCAGGCUCCACCGUCGGGGCAGGACGCAAGUGUGGCCACAGGCAUUGCUGCUGAUGUUCCCCCCGAGGCGGUUGGUGUAACUGCUGCUAUUAAUGCAGCUGGUGGCGCUACUGCUGUUGAUGCACGACAGUCACGACAGCCAUACCCACGAUGGUCACGAUAACCAUUGUGGUUACGCUGGUGGUUGGAGGCCCUGAACCUAUGGGCACCGCUGGUGUAGCACCCAUGGCGACGAUGUCUUCCACAUCUAUCGGGGAUAACGACUCACAGGCCGCGAAGUGGGCCCUUGUGAGAGCGAGCUUGGCGGAGUUCAAAAAGUUUGAUAUGCUAAAGUUCUCCAGCAAAAGUGAUGACCCAUAGGCCGUAGAGAAAUGGGUCAAUCACAUGCAGAAGCCGUUUCGAGACCUCUACAUCGAGGGAUAAGAAAAGGCUCCCUUGACCACUUAUUUUUUGGAGGAGGGUCGUUACGCCAUCUUUUCCAUCCUAGAAGAAGUUCAGGGAGUUGAUUUAUGACCACUAUUUAAAGAAAAUACCAAGCAGAGCCUAGAGCAGGAACUUGAGUGACUAAAGCAAAUAAGUCGUGCCAUGGCAGAGUAUUAGCGGGAUUUCUCUCAUAUCAUCCGAUUGAUCCCUUUCGUGGUCCGCAAUGAGUAUCACAAGGCAAGACUAUUCACCAAGGGCUUGAGGCCUAAUAUUCGGAGGUUGAUCAUCUCCUAUGGCAUCAUGACGUUUGUCGAGUGCUUGGAUCAGGCUCUUAUGAUCCAAAGCGACAUUGAGGCACAAGCUGAGUAGAAGUUGACAUAGAAGAUCUAGGUCAAGAAAUGUCCUUAUUCGAAGUAUGUUGGUGGAUCUUCAGCCAGCAAGAGAUGAUCAACCUUGUAUGAUUUGCGGCAAAGCACAUCCGGUGAACACGUGCCCUCAAUAGCAGGACCACUACUUCCGAUGUAGUCAACUAGGAUAUACUUGAGCCAAAUGCCUCAUGGGUAAUGGUUUGGCUCAGAGUGUUGCUUCCUUCCCUUCUAUUCCGCGCUAGAACCGUGGGACUACAUGUGCUGCGACGUCAUCUGGGCGCUACUCCACCUCACGCUAGAAUAAGAGGAGGGGAGGGGGGCGGGAUCAGGCACUAUGUCUACAAUAUCGCCCAACAAGAGGGAGAUGCACUCGAGGAAGUCAUUGCAAGUAUAACCUCUCUCUUUGGUACUCGAGCUAGAACUUUAUUUGAUACUGGAGCAUCUCACUUAUUUAUAUCUUGUUCUUUUGCACGUGACCAUAGCUUCACGAUAAAGCAACUGUCACCGACGUUCCGCGUAAAAACACCUGGUAACCAUAUUGAUGUGGAUAAGAAUCAUUGGUCGUGGCCUGUGUUGUUGGGCAACCAAGUAUUCCUGGCCAAUCUAAAACUUAUACCGCCAAGGGAGUUCGAUGAGGUGCUUAGAAUGGACUAGCUCACUGGACACCAUGCUAUCAAUAAUUGUGAGCAGCUCGGGAUGGAUGAGUUCAUCUAUCGAGCAUGUAAGAGCUUCUUCUUCACCAUGACCAUCUCUUCGGCUAGGGCCAAGUAACUCAUGAUCGAUAGAUGCGUGGCCUACUUGGCUUCAGUGGACAUCAUCCGCAGGGUGCCUCCAAAUCUAGAGGAGAUUCUGAUAGCUCGGAAAUUUUUCGAUAUAUUUUCUAACGAGCUACCCAGAAUAUCUUCAGAUCAAAAAAUAUUCUUUAUAGACUUGGUUAUUAGCACGAUUCCUAUUUCAAAGGCUCUGUAUUGAAUGGCCUUUGCUGAGCUGAAGGCUCAUCUAGAGGAUCUUCUAGACAAGGGAUUCAUCAAGCCUAGCGUGUCCCCUGGGUACAUUUGUCUUUUUAUUCAAAAAUAAAGAUAGUAGUAGUCUGUGGCUAUGCAUUGACUAUCGAAAGCUAAAUAAGAUUUUUAGGGAUCGACAAUCUUUUUGACUAGCUAUAGGGAUCAUCAGUCUACUCAAAAAUCAAUCUGCAAUCAGACUAUCGCCAACUAAAAACCAAGGCAGACAAUGCGGCGAAGAUUACAUUCAAGACUCGUUACGGCUACUACGAGUUCACGGUGAUGCCUUUUGGGCUUAUUAAUACCCCAAAGACAUUUAUGGACAUGAUGAACCAAGUCUUCAGGCCAUACCUAAAUUAGUUUAUGGUGGUGGUCAUCGACAACAUACUGAUCUAUUCGCGGAGCAAUAAGGAGCAUAAGGAUCGUCUUCGGCAGGUUCUCCAAGUCCUUUGGGAGAACAAGCUAGGCUAAACACUAGAUGCAAGUUCUGGCUCCAAAAGGUCUCUUUCUUAGGACAUAUUGUGACUUGAUCGGAUAUUGUUGUGUGCCAAGAUGCAAGUUCUGGCUCCAAAAGGUCUCUUUCUUAGGACAUUUUGUGACUUGAUCGGAUAUUGCUGUGUAUCAAAAGAAAAUAGAGUUAGUGGUGGAUUGGCCCCGACCAACUAGCGUGACCGAGAUCAAGAGUUUCCUUGGUUUAGCGAGUUAUUACCGACGAUUCGUUUGGGCUUUUCCAAAAUCGGAACCCCAUUGAACAAGCUGAUAAGGAAAGUAGAAAACUUCCAAUAGACUCCUGAGUGCUAGAGAAGUUUUGAGGAACUCGAGGACAGAUUGAAACGCGCUCCCAUCCUAGCAUUGUAGAGACUCGGUGAGAACUUCGUGGUUUAUUACGAUGCCUCAUAGAUACGGCUGGGGUGUGCGCUCAGGCAAUAGGACCAAAUUAUUGCCUACGUGUCGUGCCAGCUGAAGGACCAUGAGAGAAACUACCCGACACACGACCUUGAGUUCGCGGUAGUGGUGUUCGCCCUUAAGUUAUAAAGGCAUUAUCUAUACGGGGCGCAUUGCGAGGUGUUCACAAACAACUGGAGCCUGAAGCAUCUUUUCACAAGGAAUGAUCAUAUCUCAGGCAAAGGUGGUGGCUUGAACUCUUAAAGGACUAUGACCUAUCUAUCCAGUACCACUCAAGAAAGGUGAAUAUGGUGACCAACGCUUUGAGCUGGAAGCUGGCCUCAGCCGAACUGUUGAUCAUGAUAACCAAAUAGGAUCACUGGAUGAAGGAGUUCCAUCGGUUGGAGUCGAAGGUUGUAACCCUCGAGGACUAUUGCCCAAUUGAUGAUCUUGGUGGUACAACCCGUCUUGGGGGACAAAAUUAAGCUCGGGCAGUAAUCAGACUCGUACUUAUAGAAAGUGCAGGCAAACAUCGAGCAAAAAGUGCAGGCAAACAUUGAGCAAGGGAAAGUUGGGGAUUUUAUGAUCCACUCUGAUAGUUCUACAUGUUUUCGAGAUUGAUUGUGCAUGCCAUAUGAUUUUGAGUUGAUGCGAGAGGUCCUAGUCAAGGCGCACCGGUCUCCGUACACCGUUCAUCUUGGCAGAAUCAAUAUGUACAGGAUCAGAAGCUGAAUUUCUAGUGGUCGAAAUAAAAAUGGAUAUGGCUCAGUGCUUUGUGAGUCAGCACGUGAAGGCUGAAUACCCGCGACCUGGAGAGAAGCUACAACCCCUCCCUAUGCCCAUGUGGAAGUGGGAGUAGAUUACCAUGAACUUUGUCACGGAACUGCCUAGGUCGCAGUGGGGCCACGACUUGAUAUGGGUCAUUGUGGACUCGUUGGUUCACUUUCUGCCGGUGCACACGACUUGGUCUAGAUAUUGACUACCUUAGUUCUACAUCGACAAGAUUGUUCGGCUUCAUGGAUUACUAGCAUCGAUUGUGUUUGAUUAGGACACCUGCUUUGUAUCUCAGUUUUGAAGGAAUUUACAUCAGGCAAUGGGUACAAACCUAAACUUCAGCUUUGUUUACUAUCCGAGAAUUACAUCAAGCAAUGGGUACAAACCUAAACUUCAGCUUUGAUUACGAGUCUGAGCAUGUAUUCAGACCUUGGAGAACAUGCUCCGUGCCUAUCCUGAAUUAUGGCGAAGGGUGAUUCAAGUAUCUACCUAUGGGCCUACAACAACAAUUAUCAAGCAAGUAUCGAAAUGACACCGUAUGAGGCUUUGUGUGAGCGUAGAUAUCGACUCCCAAUCUGUUGGGACAAUGUCGAUGAACGCCGAAUGAUUAGACCAAACUUGUUGGAUUCGGAGGCUAAUGUUCGUAUUGCAAGGUAACAGCUAUUGACCGCAUCUCAUCUAUUAAAUACUAUGUACUUUUUGAAUAAUUCAAUACAAUAUACCGAAUAAGAUAUUCCAGCAUACAAACAGUGCUUAAAAGUGUGCUAUACCACAACUCAAAAUUGGACUUCCUAGUGAGACGCAUCAAGCUGAAUUUUCGUUCUAUAAUCCAAUGAUGAUUUCACUGACUUUCGCAAAUAAAUGUUUCCUAUGCACCCAUAAUAGAUUCCCAUACACUCCAUUUAAUCUAUGAUUUUACCAAGAAAACACAAAACAUGAGACCAUAGCAGAUCCUUGCCAUUCUCAUUAUAAAUGCUUACACUCAGAUUUUGAAGUGCAUUCCGAAAUUUAGAUCACCACACAUGCCAUGUUAUCCUCACCAGUAUGAAUACUUAGUCUCCUAAGUUGUUAAUUUUAUAUUUCUUAUCAAAGCAUUUUUUUUCAAGGGUUUUUAAAAAACUUACAUUCGGACAAUACUUAUCAAGAACUUUCAUAGUAGGGGGUCUCUGAAUAUGCUACUUCAAAAAGAGUAGUAAUUUCAAACGUAGCCCUCAAAUUUUUUUGUUAAAAAAAUAUAUAAAUAUCUCUUCAAGGUUGGAGGAAGGGUAUAUAUGAAAUUUAACCCUAAAUUAUAAUAUAAAUACUCUUUUCGUCGAUUGUUCUCAAGUUAAAACACAAAAUGACCAAUAUACCCCUCACAAACUACCAUGACCCAAGCCACCGCCACUGAGUUAUAAAGGAGUUUGAAUCUUAUAUAAGAUUCAAUGGUGGCAACUUGAACUGGGGAUAGUAACUUUUGGUUUCAUUUAUAUCACUUAGGAUAACUUUUUUAUUUUGCAUAUGCAAAGUAGUAUAAAUAAAAGCAGUCAAUGCAAAUUUUUAAAACUACAAAUCUGAAAUAAAAACAUAGUAAUACGAAUCAUAAAAAAAACUACAUCUAAAAUAAUAUAAAGAUCUAAAAGUAAUCAAAGUAAACUAUAAAAUUACAAAUAUGAAAUAAACACAUAGUAAUAAAGGUGAAUCUAACUUCGGAACUACACCUAGAAUGAUAUAAAGAUGGGCUUUUUUUGCAAAUAGUCCCCUGAGCAAUUUUUAUUUUAAAAAUAGCCCUAUCAAAAUUAAAAUUGCAAAAAUGACCCUGUCCCUGCCACGCAGGCGCCACGUCAGCGCCACGCAGGCUGGGCUGAGGCCAGGGUAUUAAUUCAAACACGAUCAAAAUUAAAAUUGCAAAAAUGGUCUUGUCCCUGCCACGCAGGCGCCACGUCAGCGCCACGCGGGCUGAGAUGAGGCCAGGGUAUUAAUUCAAACACGGUGAACAGUUCACCGUGUCUAAACACUGUGUUUAGUAUGUAUUUUUUGUAUAUUGAAAAAUGAAAUAAGGAGUAGGGAUGUCAAUAGGUAUGGAUAUCCGAAAUAUUAUUCGAAUCCAAACCCGAAUAAAUUAUAUAUAUAUAUAUAUAUAUANAACUUAGAACCCUUUGGCUUGAAAAUAUUAGAACAAAGGGUCUUACGGGCCUUGUCAACAACAUGGGGUUAUACUCUGCCAAUACUGUGGUUUCAGCUGCAGCUAGUGAAAAUCAUUGAUCAUAAACUAAAAUUUAUUUUAAGGCUGAAUUGCUUACUGCAUUCCCUUAGUGAUUUAUAAUUGGGAAGGAAGAAAAAAAAUGGUUCUUUUGAUUGUGCUUAUAUUGAAAUUUGAAUAUUUUAAUCAUUUAUACCAGCUUCAAUCUUUACUGAAGUGUUUUUGAAGUGAAUAAUUCUCAAUGACAUUUUAGAUAUCAGCAGCGUCAGCAUCUGGUAGAUGUGACGGAGAUAUUUAAUCUACUCCAUCGAGAGAAGAAGCGGCGCCUUAUUAAGCUCAUCAGUCUCGUUGUCCUUCUCUUUCUUUCUUUAUUCUGGUAAAUAUAUCACAAGAUUUUUCAGAUUAGUAAGAGCACCUCAAGAAUAAAAUAUUAAUCAUCCCUUCUUUGUUCUUUACCUGUAGGAUGAUCUGGAGUGUGUUGGAGGAUGACGAUUAGUUGGAGAUGCUGUGGUUCUGGUUACUGUGCAGUGCCCGCUCCAGCUGUAGGUAUCAGAAGGUGUGGUCCUAAGUCAGUCGGGAGCGCAAAAUGGUUUGCCGUCAUUUCCCACGUUGUGAUGCUCCCAUCUUGUUGUAACAUGUAUUUGGUGCUUUUCUUCAUUAUUCACUGUAGUACGCAUCAAUUGUUGAUAUCGUGGUGCUUCUGAUUGCUUCUAAACCUUUACUCUCCGUAUAGCUUAUUCCAUGAUGUCCAUGCAUGAUUAACCAAAGGAACUAAAAAGGAGCUUAUGCAGCUUCCUGCAUUUGUGCUUGCAUGAAAACAUUUCUAGUGGAGUAUUCUAUCUACAUCAAAAUUAUCUAUUUUAUUUAAGCAAGCAAUUCGCAGUCGGACGGGUACUUAGCAUAACGUUAUUUUUCUUCUUCUUUCUUGGGUUAAUUUUAUUAGUGCCUGUCGGCUCACUCCUAAUUAUAUUGAAACCUUUCAAGAGUUAUCAAUAUCAUGAAUGCCCCUCAAAUUCAGUUAAAUUAUCAUGAACCAUAAUACUGUUAUUCCACCCGAAAUAUGGCUUAAAUGUUUGUUUUACCCUUUCCACUCUUUGAUUGUUAAUUGUUUAGUUAUUAGUAUUAUUCUAGUUUAAUUAUUUAAAUAUGUCGUCACUGUGACUAAUUUAGUAUAUUUUUAUUUUAUUUGUUUAGUUCUGAUGGAAGAAUUAGAUACUUUUUGUCCGGUUUAUUUUUAUAUCUUUAUAGGGCUUUUUUUGCAUUUAGAUCCCUGGCAAAUUUUUAUUUUAAAAAUAGCCCUGUCAAAAUUUAAUUUGCAAAAGUGGCCCUCGGCUUGCCACCAGGCGCCACGUCAGCGCCACGCGGGCAGGGCCGGAACUGUGUGUUAAGUUGAACAUGGUGAACCAUUCACCGUGUUUAGACACGGUCAAUGGUUCACCGUGUUUAGUCUUUGAUCUUUUGUAUCCGUUAGAGCAGAGUAUUGAGUUAGGCAUGCACUCAACCCUGCGGUCCUAUAUCAUUCUAACCGCACAUCCCUUAAUCCAAUAACCAAAUAUCUAUAAUCACUAAUAACUUGGCAUUUUUAAAAGCAUAGAAGUACAAUAUAUAUAUAUAUAGAGUAGGGCUACUAUACUCUUAUGAGUAGUGGACCCUUACUACUCAUAAGUUGUUUUCGAUGAUGGAGCUUCCGAAUCGACGAUCCACUCCGUUAAAUAUGAUCUAGAGCAUUUAAAACUUCUAGAAAUUAAAUUUCAUAAUUUUUCGACAUCAUUUACCUUAUGAUCAAAAGCUCACAAAAUUGAUAAUUUUUAACGGCCGGUAUGGGAUACUUGCUAGUUUAACGGUGGAAAAGAAUCGGAAUAGGUUGAAUUUUUGAUAGAAAAUUCUAUACACUACCUAGAUAAAGAUCAAUAACUCCGAUCUUAAAUUGAGGGAUCCGAUCAUCCAUUUUUAGGACGUCGUUCGAUUUUGACCGUUCAUUUUAUGCCCGCUUGAUGGACUUUAUUAUGAUGUCGAAAAAUUAUGAAAUUUAAUUUCUAGAAGUUUUAAAUGCUCUAGAUCAUAUUUAACGGAGUGGAUCGUCGAUUCGGAAGCUCCAUCAUCGAAAACAACUUAUGAGUAGUAAGGGUCCACUACUCAUAAGAGUAUAGUAGCCCUACUCUAUAUAUAUAUAUAUAUAUAUAAUUUAUUCGGAUUUGAAUUUGGAUAAUAUUUCGAAUAUCUAUACCUAUUGACAUUCCUACUCCCUACUCUUUUCAACAUACAAAAUAUCCAUACUAAACACGGUGAACCAUUAACCGUGUCUAAACACGAUGAAUAGUUCACCGUGUUCAACUUAACACACAGUUUCAGCCCUGCCCGCGUGGCGCUGACGUGGCGCCUGGUGGCAGGCCCAGAGCCAUUUUUGCAAAUUAAAUUUUGACAGGACUAUUUUUAAAAUAAAAAUUUG
rnacentral:lncRNA from 1 species